ensembl:lncRNA
UGUGUUGAACUGUAUGUUUCUCUCACUUGAUUUCUAGACUUUUUUGGGGGGGCUUUUUCUGUUUGGCCACUUGCUGCUAGGAUUUCUUGGAAUUAAUUUUUUUUCUACAAUGCAGGCAGGCAGGCACUCCCAUGGGGUUACAGUCUUGCAAGCUUUCCAGCUCCUGCCUACAAAGUGAGGAGGAAUGCAAACCGUCUUGUGGCUGCUGCUGUAUGUGCAAGGACUGGAGAUAUUGCUCUGACCAUUGCUGUGACAUCUGCUGCCAGAUGUGUAUGGAUGUGUGCACUGGCCUCUGUCCUGCAGACUGCAGCUAUUCCUUCUGUUAUCUCUGCCUCACAUUGGUAGAGAACUGUCUUGGUUUUUUCCAGCAAACAAACAGAAGCAUAACGGAGACAGAAACCAGUAGCAAGUCCACAACAGCAUGCCAAGUGAUUGUCUGACAAACCAAAGGCAAAAGACUGACUUAGAGAAUAAGAAAAAGAAAAAGAAAGCUUUACCAGAUCAUGAAUGCAAGGUGAGGUGAACAGGGGUUAAGGACUAUGGUGCUCCAUGAAAACCUGUUCUGCACUGCCAAAAAGCAGUCCUGUUGUUUAAAACUAAUGAAGACCCAGCAGGCUCAAGUGUCCUCAAGCUGUAAUAAAGUACUUGGUAACACUUUCUUAUGUGCUUCCUCUGUGGUACGCAAGGGCAAAUGUAAAGUGUAGUAAAUAGUAUAAACCUCUUUUUUUUUUUUUUAUUAAGGGACCAAUACAAUGCAUUGGAAAAUAACAAGUGGAAACAGUUUGCUGUUUUUUGUUGAAAAUAGGUUGUUGUUUUUUUUUUUAAUUUCCCUUUUGUAGAAAAUUUGAAUUGUGUUCUUGUUAAGAGAAAGAGGUCUCUGAAUUAGUUUGCCUGUGUAGAAGAAACCUAGAACCGCAAUAAAUAAAAUAUAUAUAUAUAAAUAAAAAACAUAAAGCAUAUGACUGAAAAGUAUAUCAGGUGUAAAGAAAAAAACAAAAGCAAAAAUGUACAGCAUGUAAUAAGAGGUUGAAUGCGCUGAAGAGCGAGGGCAGUAUCUGUGUAUCAGUGAGGAAAGUGGAAUGGUUAUCAUUACAUGCUCCUCUUAUUUGUCAAUAGCCGUGGAUCUAUUCUCUGCAGCUGUAGAUACACACACACACACACACACACACACACACACACACACACACACACACACACACACACACACACACACACACACAAAGUGCACAUAAACAAGAAAAAUUGAUUACCACCUCUUCCUGAUUGCAGCCGCUCUGUCUUCUAAAUCUAAAUUGCAACUCCAGACACAAAAGCAGCCCGUGUACCUGAAGCACCCUAAAUCAAUCUCCCCCCACUCUCCAGCUCCUGCACUGCCAAAUAAAAAGUACAACCUUUUCCAGGGAAGUGCAAAGCCUCAGAAUGUAAAAUAUGUCAUAUAAUGUAAAAUAUGCCGCUUGCAUGCUAUGACCUUGUGGCUUUAAGGCUGGAGACCUUCAGUUUUCACAAUCAAGACUCACAAAUUUCCACAAUGCAAUAGUGAGACAAGACUUCAAGACAUGCAGAGAUUAAAAGGACAGCUUUCACCAAGUGUUUCAUAUUGAUUGUCGUAAGACAGCUGAUAAGUGGCAUUCCUCAUAGAUACAGAGUUUAACUGUGGCUUCAUAUAUUCUAACCACAUCCCGAAAAACAAUUGGACAUAAUUCGAUCAGGAACCCUAUCUGUGUAAUUACCCACCGACUUUAAACACUACUAAUUUGAAUUCUAAGCUUUUCAAGGGAUACAAUGCAUUUUAAACAAUGGCAAAACUUCUUAAAAUUCAGUGAUUAAACUCAUUAUCAUAUCAGCGGUUUCGAGAGUGCAGACCCUCUAUGGAAUAAUUUAGACCCACAUGCCAGGCUCGUGGUACAGACACAGAAGCCACGCCACUGCUGCCUCCCCCACUCUUUUCAUUACAUCUACCUGACAUCUGCCCUCAUUCACACCUGCACCACAACACUUUCUCUUCACUGGCUUGCCAGUAACAUUUGUCACAUGUAUCCCAACCUCUUCUUUAAUGCAUCCUUAUCAGUCACUCAGACAAGGCACUUAACAUGAGAAUGAAUCUGAGACCUUGCCCUUAGCAGGGGCCAUUAUGUGUAAUGGUUGUCAGCUGUUUGGAAUGCAUUCCCAUGUCCCACUGAAAUGAUUUGUAUCCUUGCCAAGUUUAGCAUUCGAGUGUAAGCAUGAACAGUCUCAUCUUAUUAAAUACUGCCUACUGAAAAAAGGGGCCAUCUCAGUGGAUAUCUACAGUAUUUGCUAUUCUUAAAAAAUAUUUUAUAAGAACCAACUCUGCAAGAUGCGACAGACAGAAAGAGAAUAUGAUUAUCUGUUAUAGCCCUCUAAAGUUAGCCUUGCAUGAAGCUGGAUCAGUUCCUUCUUGGAAGAUGGCUCAUUAUCAGCAUCAACAAGGACAGUGCCCCGAGAAAUCUUAUGGCACUUCCUUCAUUAAAAUGGCAAUUUGGCAACAAGUGUGAGAUGUGUUCUCGGAAACCUUUUUAAAUGAACCAAAAGUACUUACAAAGUGUCUUAGUAAGUAAGUAAGGAGCGAAAAUGGUAGCAGACCCACGUGUGUAUCGCUGUCUUAUGAAGUCAUUUUGAGAAACAAUUUCCAUACAAAAAAACUCCAGAGAAGUUACUAAGGAGUAAGGAGCUGUGUGUAAUGAAUUUAGAUGGAUAAAUCUAAAUACUGGGGCCACUUGAUAUGCAGCAUCAGGCAGAGACACAUCAGCUAUGCAGCAGAUAAUUAUUAACUUAAGCAUAUUAAAUUCUCAAAAAUUCAUGGCUUGGAGCAGAUAAUCUCUCUCCGCCAAAUGUUAUGUAGCACCGAUAAGAAGCAGAUGACCAUCAGUUCAUGGAUAUAGGCUUAAGGUGUGCAGUGAGUGUGGCUGAGAGGUGCAGCAGCAUAAACUAUGGGACCGGAGCUCAACAGUUAAGAUGUAAUUAUGAUAUGAAUACUAGCAGAGCAAGCUAUCACAUAUUACUUUGAAUUGAAAUAUUUCUCCAGAGCUUAACUGAAUAGGGACUGUAUGGAGAACAAGGUAAAGGAGACGCAAGAGUGACAAGAGACGUGCUGAGGCUGAAGCUGAGAUUAAUGGAAAUAAUUACGUGUGCAAGAAGACAGACAUUCCUUUAGCCAAAAUAAGCACGGACAAGAGAGAUCGGUUAUUCUUCGCAGCGAUAUGAAUUAAAAGCCAGAAUAACGAUAAACUCAGCAAGUGCUGCAGAGUACAUAUAUCAAGUAGGUGGCAAAAUAAAUGCUGGUUUUGACACCAACAGAACCAAAAGCCUCGCCGCAAGCUGUUCUGCAGCAGAGCAAUAACAGUCACAAUGACUCAAUCAUCUUUUCUAAUACUGCUCUCAGCACCAGCAUGUAUACAAUUAAGUAUUAAGCCUCUGGAGCUCACCCCAGCUGUCACAGGGUUAGAGGUAGCAUGCACCC